CCGAUGGUGACAUGCAUGGUCAUGGCACAGUAAAGCAUUAGUUUCAUGUCCCCACUGGGGCUCUGUACUACUCCAGUGCAAAAUUUUGUAAUGAUUUUGAGAUCACACUCCUUUUUCGUUUUGCUUUUUUUUUUUUUUUUUUUUUAAUAUAUAUAUAUAUAUAUAUAUAUAUAUAAAGGUAAAUAAACUGCUGUUCAGAUUUCCAGCGUCCAUACACCAGAUCCUUAGUGACCAGUUUUAUGGGUGGUUCACUUCAGGGCACUUUAAAUAACAUCUUUUCUUGGGCAUUAUGACAAUAUUCAGACUAACUUUACAUUAGUCUGUAUGCAUUUCCCAGUUUUUAUUGGAACUGGGAGUGAAAUCUCAGACUUGCUGGCUAGUUUUUGAACACAGAGUCAGUCUCGCGUAUCAAUCUGAAUAAUCUCACUCCGAGAUCUGUGUAUCAGCGGUCAGGCGGAAGAUGCUGGAAAGGUGAGAAGCAUGGAUAAGAAAUGUAGGGGCUGAAUGAGCAGAAAAAUAGAAAAGAUGUUAAGGUCUUCACUCUUUUGACCUGAUUAGCAUGCUAAUGAUUAUGCUAGGUGGUAGAUAUUUGGUAGAACUACAGCUGUGUGUUAAGGCCGAAGGAAGUAGAAAGUAAGACAUGGGUGUAUGUAUAAUCAAAGCAAGGUCCAGGUAGCAAGCCUGUCAGAAAGCCUGGCCAUCCAGGAGGGAAGAUAAAGCAGGACAGAAUGAGGCCCAGGAAUCUGAGUGCAGGAUUCUGAGAGAGAGGUUCUCAAGCACAGAGCGUACAGAGUGCUGCUGACGGACAGUCAGAGUGACGGCCUGCUCGGGGAAUGGCACUAAUGAGGCUCAGGCAGUGCAAAGCCGUGAGAAUGGGCCUGGAGAUGAUAAGGAAUGUCGUAACUCGAUUUACACCGUAGCGCUGUUGAAUUCUCAGUUCUGAUUGGACAGGAGGUGUUGAUUCAUAUUCUGCUUUAACAGCCGCAGUGGAAGCAGUCAGUAGUGUUCUCUGCAAGGCAAAUCGCAGCUUUCUAUUAAUGCGCUUGUUCUCAUACAUUAUCCUUUCCAUAGCAGCGACUUGCGCAAGGACAAAAACGUGUAAUCGUUUGAAGAUUUCUGGAAGGAGAUUUUUAUUUCUCACUCUGAAAGGCGUCUCCGCUGUCAGUACUUUGCAGCGAUCAGACGUAAAGCUGUGCCUUAACAUGUUCCGACACUGGAAAGUCUUCAGGAUGAAGGACUUUGCGUUUUCUCAGUACCAUAUGUUUUGGGGUUUUGUUUGUUUGUUUGUUUGUUUGUUUGUUUGUUUGUUCAGUUCAUUUUAAGAGAGGGGAAAAAAAGGACAGAGGAACUGUUUAUAGCUGCUAUAACAUAAGAAAAUAACACAGGGAACUAACUUAUUUUCCAGAUGUUCCAGAAUAUGACAUGCAUAAAUGGACAAAAUGUACACGUUGUUCUUUAGUUAAAAAAAAAACUGUUUGUAAACAUUUGCUUUUGCAGAACUUUGCUUUUGCUUUGCGCCCUACAGCCCACUACCCUGUCACUGAUUAUUUUCCGAUAACGGCAUGCGUCCAGAUGUUUUACCCCUAACAUAAAGCUCAGCCUGACAUCAGUCUGGCUCGCACGAUCCUCUGGAAGCACAGUCUUUCACAUCGAACAAAUCCUCCUCUUCAAGACCUUUUGACCACGUCAGAAGGUCUCCACUCGACUUUCUCCCACUCCCAGUGCAUCGACGUUAUAGAAUACUUUUCCGCCGUUCUAUCAGGGACAUCAUGCAAUAUUUAGUCGUUUCAAUACGGUUAGAAUGAAUACCGAGAUGAUUCAUGGAUGAGGCGAUGAGCAAUUGCAGAAAGAAAAGGUUUAGAAAAGAAUUGUCGGUCAGAAUGAUGAAAAGCAUUACGUGGGUGUCCUGUUUGAGUGAUGGACUCAUUCUUCUGUUCAAACUGUCCUUCACGAUAAUGGACCGCUCUUACGUUUCAUUUCACCUGUGAGUCAGCCUUUUGCUGUACUAAUGCUGUGUGCCUUCGCUGUACGUGCCACUGGGUCAUAAAGUGUAAAGUAACAUUAUUGUAUGAAUAUUUUAUGAUACUCAAAUGUAUAUGUGCUUGGAGGGAGGGGAGGGGAGGGGGUGGAGGGGGGGGGGUCGAAUCAACUAAAAGCUAAAAAAUAAUAUUUCUGCUUUAGUCCGAUUUGAAGAUGAUUUUUUUUUUUUUUUUUUUUGCGAUCAGAAUGUAUUAAAAAGAAAAGAAUAAUUAUUGUCGUUUCUUUGUGUUUUAAACUGUCACAUAUCUUACUUUAUAAUGCUCACUUUAUCAUGAUAAACGAUUGAAGGAAACUGUUGAAGGAACAUUGUGUUUAUGAAGGUUUUAUGAGCGCACUAAAAGCAAAAAAAAAAUAAUAAUAAAAAUAAGUAUAAGACCUCAAAUAUUACAGAUUUUGUAUUAAAGCCAUUUUUCAGAAUGAAGCCUCGGUGUGUUUCUUCUCGAUGCAGUAAAUGCUUCCGUCUGUUUGGAUGACACAAUCUGACAGCUACAUCAAACAUGUUGUGUUUUUUAAAGAUUGCGACAUGUUCAAUUGAUCAGGGUGAAACCAGGCUUGUGUUAUAAUAUCGUUUAAUACGUUUAAUCCCACUCUCGCCAUCUGUGUUCUCGUUACAGAUGUGAAGCUGGUUUUAAAUAGCUUUCGGCAGAUGUUACGUUUAUCUUGUUUGUCUCUGGAGCCAGGACGUUUAUUUUAGAAAGUUGUAUGAAUAAUUGUCCUCCGUUCACUGACUGUGAU
ensembl:lncRNA